rnacentral:rRNA from 1 species
AGCGAACGCUGGCGGCGUACUUAACACAUGCAAGUCGAACGAGGAUCAUCGGGUUAGCAAUAAUUCGGUGGUCCUAGUGGCGCACGGGUGAGUAACACGUGGGUGACCUGCCCUUGAGCUCGGGAUACCCCCUCGAAAGGGGGGCGUAAUACCGGAUACGUUCCUCGGUCGAAAGACUGAGGAGGAAAGGUGGCGCAAGCUGCCGCUCUUGGAGGGGCUCGCGGCCUAUCAGCUAGUGGCGGGGUAACGGCCCACCAAGGCUAUGACGGGUAGCUGGUCUGAGAGGACG